rnacentral:rRNA from 1 species
UCCAGACUCCUACGGGAGGCAGCAGUCGGGAAUAUUGCGCAAUGGAGGAAACUCUGACGCAGUGACGUCGCGUGCAGGAAGAAGGUUUUCGGAUUGUAAACUGCUUUAGACAGGGAAGAAAAAGGACAGUACCUGUAGAAUAAGCUCCGGCUAACUACGUGCCAGCAGCCGCGGUAAUACGUAGGGAGCAAGCGUUAUCCGGAUUUAUUGGGUGUAAAGGGUGCGUAGACGGGAAGGCAAGUUGGUUGUGAAAUCCCUCGGCUUAACUGAGGAACUGCAACCAAAACUAUCUUUCUUGGGUGCUGGAGAGGAAAGUGGAAUUCCUAGUGUAGCGGUGAAAUGCGUAGAUAUUAGGAGGAACACCAGUGGCGAAGGCGACUUUCUGGACAGUAACUGACGUUGGGGCACGAAAGUGUGGGGAGCAAACAGGAUUAGAUACCCGGGUA